GAGAGGCGCCAGUAGACGGAGAGCUGCAGCGGAGACAUCACCGUUAACUUCCUCCAGCUGUGACAGAAGAAUGAAGUUUAUCCGGCUUCAAGGUCCUGAAGGAUAGUUUGGGAUUCUCCGUGUGGUGAUACAGCGCCACCCUGCGGUCUACAAAGGUAUUAUACCUUUACUCCGGUCAAGUUUUGAGAUGAACAUUUGAGCUUCUCUGUGCAGAGUUUGUUUUCAC